CCUUUGGUAGCUAAUUUUGGCGUUGUCAGAACUGGUUAGCCAAAUGAAUUGCAUUAAAGUAGCGUUUCGCCGUGCCCAUACCGAAACCCUGCUUUUUUUA
rfam:Lactobacillus oligofermentans DSM 15707 = LMG 22743 strain DSM 15707 NODE_92, whole genome shotgun sequence.